rnacentral:rRNA from 1 species
CCGCGAAUUCGCCCUUCGGGGUGAGCAGGCGCGAAAACUUUACAAUGCUGGCAACAGCGAUAAGGGGACCUCGAGUGCCAGGUUACAAAUCUGGCUGUCGUGAUGCCUAAAAAGCAUUGCAUAGCAAGGGCCGGGCAAGACCGGUGCCAGCCGCCGCGGUAACACCGGCGGCUCGAGUGGUAACCGUUAUUAUUGGGUCUAAAGGGUCUGUAGCCGGCCGGAUAAGUCUCUUGGGAAAUCCAGCAGCUCAACUGUUGGGCUUUCAGGAGAUACUGUCUGGCUCGAGGCCGGGAGAGGUGAGAGGUACUUCAGGGGUAGGGGUGAAAUCUUGUAAUCCUUGAAGGACCACCAGUGGCGAAGGCGUCUCACCAGAACGGACCUGACGGCAAGGGACGAAAGCUAGGGGCACGAACCGGAUUAGAUACCCGGGUAGUCCUAGCCGUAAACGAUACUCGCUAGGUGUCGGCCACGGUGCGACCGUUGUCGGUGCCGUAGGGAAGCCGUGAAGCGAGCCACCUGGGAAGUACGGCCGCAAGGCUGAAACUUAAAGGAAUUGGCGGGGGAGCAC